rnacentral:tRNA from 1 species
GUCUCUGUAUUGCAAGGGAUUGCGCGUUGAACUUCUAAUCCAAAGGUCGUGGGUUUGAAUCCCAUCUGGGACG